rnacentral:rRNA from 1 species
GAUGAACGCUGGCGGCGUGCCUAAUACAUGCAAGUCGAGCGAACGGACGAGAAGCUUGCUUCUCUGAUGUUAGCGGCGGACGGGUGAGUAACACGUGGAUAACCUACCUAUAAGACUGGGAUAACUUCGGGAAACCGGAGCUAAUACCGGAUAAUAUUUUGAACCGCAUGGUUCAAAAGUGAAAGACGGUCUUGCUGUCACUUAUAGAUGGAUCCGCGCUGCAUUAGCUAGUUGGUAAGGUAACGGCUUACCAAGGCAACGAUGCAUAGCCGACCUGAGAGGGUGAUCGGCCACACUGGAACUGAGACACGGUCCAGACUCCUACGGGAGGCAGCAGUAGGGAAUCUUCCGCAAUGGGCGAAAGCCUGACGGAGCAACGCCGCGUGAGUGAUGAAGGUCUUCGGAUCGUAAAACUCUGUUAUUAGGGAAGAACAUAUGUGUAAGUAACUGUGCACAUCUUGACGGUACCUAAUCAGAAAGCCACGGCUAACUACGUGCCUGCAGCCGCGGUAAUACGUAGGUGGCAAGCGUUAUCCGGAAUUAUUGGGCGUAAAGCGCGCGUAGGCGGUUUUUUAAGUCUGAUGUGAAAGCCCACGGCUCAACCGUGGAGGGUCAUUGGAAACUGGAAAACUUGAGUGCAGAAGAGGAAAGUGGAAUUCCAUGUGUAGCGGUGAAAUGCGCAGAGAUAUGGAGGAACACCAGUGGCGAAGGCGACUUUCUGGUCUGUAACUGACGCUGAUGUGCGAAAGCGUGGGGAUCAAACAGGAUUAGAUACCCUGGUAGUCCACGCCGUAAACGAUGAGUGCUAAGUGUUAGGGGGUUUCCGCCCCUUAGUGCCGCAGCUAACGCAUUAAGCACUCCGCCUGGGGAGUACGACCGCAAGGUUGAAACUCAAAGGAAUUGACGGGGACCCGCACAAGCGGUGGAGCAUGUGGUUUAAUUCGAAGCAACGCGAAGAACCUUACCAAAUCUUGACAUCCUUUAACAACUCUAGAGAUAGAGCUUUCCCCUUCGGGGGACAAAGUGACAGGUGGUGCAUGGUUGUCGUCAGCUCGUGUCGUGAGAUGUUGGGUUAAGUCCCGCAACGAGCGCAACCCUUAAGCUUAGUUGCCAUCAUUAAGUUGGGCACUCUAAGUUGACUGCCGGUGACAAACCGGAGGAAGGUGGGGAUGACGUCAAAUCAUCAUGCCCCUUAUGAUUUGGGCUACACACGUGCUACAAUGGACAAUACAAAGGGCAGCGAAACCGCGAGGUCAAGCAAAUCCCAUAAAGUUGUUCUCAGUUCGGAUUGUAGUCUGCAACUCGACUACAUGAAGCUGGAAUCGCUAGUAAUCGUAGAUCAGCAUGCUACGGUGAAUACGUUCCCGGGUCU